rnacentral:misc_RNA from 1 species
GAUGAAGAACGCAGCGAAAUGCGAUAAGUAAUGUGAAUUGCAGAAUUCAGUGAAUCACCGAAUCUUUGAACGCACAUUGCGCCCCUUGGUAUUCCGAGGGGCAUGCCUGUUCGAGCGUCAUUAUAACCCCUCAAGCUCAGCUUGGUGUUGGGGCCUGCUGCACUGGCAGCCCUUAAAAUCAGUGGCGGCGCCAUCUGGCUCUAAGCGUAGUAAUUCUUCUCGCUAUGGAGUCCUGGUGGAUGCUUGCCAUCAACCCCCAAUUUUUCUAUGGUUGACCUCGGAUCAGGUAGGGAUACCCGCUGAACUUAAGCAUAUCAAUAAGCGGAGGA